AUGAAUGUUAAUGGGGAUAUUGGGCCUUACUUCUUGACUGGACAGGGAGUUCGGCAAGGUGAUCCAAUCUCCCCAUUUCUUUUCAACCUUGUGGUUGAUGCGCUAACUUUGAUCCUAGAUUUGGCCAAACAGGCCGGUCACAUUAGGGGGAUUUGCCCUCAUCUUGUGGCCAACGGAGGUCUGACACACCUCCAGUAUGCCGAUGACACCAUUAUGAUGGUGGAAGGGUCAGAAAAAGAUAUUCAGAACCUCAAAUUACUCCUCCUCUACUUUCAGGAGAUAUCGGGCCUUACGAUUAACUUCGCCAAGAGUGAGGUGAUGGUCCUUGGAUACUCCCAGGCAGAAGCCCAGAGAAUCGCCAAUCACUUGAAUUGUCGAUUGGAAUCCUUCCUGACCACUUACCUAGGCAUGCCAAUUAGUGACACGGGCCUUCUGGAGAAAGACUUCCAUCCAAUAAUCGCCAAGCUCCAACCUAGGAUUCCUUGGCAGGGGAUAUGGUUGUCCAAGGCCGCUCGAGUGAUUCUAAUGAACUCCUCCCUUAUUAGCCUCUUGAUGUACCUCAUGGGAUUCUAUAGUCUGCAUGAAUCCCUUCAUCAUGAGGUCACCAAGCUUCUCUCCUGAUUCUUCUGGGCUGGAGAGAAUAAUAAACAGAAGUACCACAUGGUGAAGUGGUCUGAGAUUUGUAAGCCCAAGGACCAAGGGAGCCUUGGGGUCAUCUCAUCCAAGCCGAUGAAUAUUGCUCUCCUCUCCAAAUGGCUCUAG
rnacentral:rRNA from 1 species